AUUGAACGCUGGCGGCAGGCCUAACACAUGCAAGUCGAGCGGUAGCACAGAGAGCUUGCUCUCGGGUGACGAGCGGCGGACGGGUGAGUAAUGUCUGGGAAACUGCCUGAUGGAGGGGGAUAACUACUGGAAACGGUAGCUAAUACCGCAUAACGUCGCAAGACCAAAGUGGGGGACCUUCGGGCCUCAUGCCAUCAGAUGUGCCCAGAUGGGAUUAGCUAGUAGGUGGGGUAACGGCUCACCUAGGCGACGAUCCCUAGCUGGUCUGAGAGGAUGACCAGCCACACUGGAACUGAGACACGGUCCAGACUCCUACGGGAGGCAGCAGUGGGGAAUAUUGCACAAUGGGCGCAAGCCUGAUGCAGCCAUGCCGCGUGUGUGAAGAAGGCCUUCGGGUUGUAAAGCACUUUCAGCGGGGAGGAAGGCGUUAAGGUUAAUAACCUUGGCGAUUGACGUUACCCGCAGAAGAAGCACCGGCUAACUCCGUGCCAGCAGCCGCGGUAAUACGGAGGGUGCAAGCGUUAAUCGGAAUUACUGGGCGUAAAGCGCACGCAGGCGGUCUGUCAAGUCGGAUGUGAAAUCCCCGGGCUCAACCUGGGAACUGCAUUCGAAACUGGCAGGCUAGAGUCUUGUAGAGGGGGGUAGAAUUCCAGGUGUAGCGGUGAAAUGCGUAGAGAUCUGGAGGAAUACCGGUGGCGAAGGCGGGCCCCCUGGACAAAGACUGACGCUCAGGUGCGAAAGCGUGGGGAGCAAACAGGAUUAGAUACCCUGGUAGUCCACGCCGUAAACGAUGUCGAUUUGGAGGUUGUGCCCUUGAGGCGUGGCUUCCGGAGCUAACGCGUUAAAUCGACCGCCUGGGGAGUACGGCCGCAAGGUUAAAACUCAAAUGAAUUGACGGGGGCCCGCACAAGCGGUGGAGCAUGUGGUUUAAUUCGAUGCAACGCGAAGAACCUUACCUGGUCUUGACAUCCACAGAACUUUCCAGAGAUGGAUUGGUGCCUUCGGGAACUGUGGGACAGGUGCUGCAUGGCUGUCGUCAGCUCGUGUUGUGAAAUGUUGGGUUAAGUCCCGCAACGAGCGCAACCCUUAUCCUUUGUUGCCAGCGGUUCGGCCGGGAACUCAAAGGAGACUGCCAGUGAUAAACUGGAGGAAGGUGGGGAUGACGUCAAGUCAUCAUGGCCCUUACGACCAGGGCUACACACGUGCUACAAUGGCAUAUACAAAGAGAAGCGACCUCGCGAGAGCAAGCGGACCUCAUAAAGUAUGUCGUAGUCCGGAUUGGAGUCUGCAACUCGACUCCAUGAAGUCGGAAUCGCUAGUAAUCGUAGAUCAGAAUGCUACGGUGAAUACGUUCCCGGGCCUUGUACACACCGCCCGUCACACCAUGGGAGUGGGUUGCAAAAGAAGUAGGUAGCUUAACCUUCGGGAGGGCGCUUACCACUUUGUGAUUCAUGACUGGGGUGA
rnacentral:rRNA from 1 species